GGCCGGGUGGCCUAGUGGUUCUAGGCGCUAUAGUCUGGAACGCUACGGCCGCAGGUUCGAAUCCUGCCUCGGUCA